GACGAACGCUGGCGGCGUGCUUAACACAUGCAAGUCGAACGGAAAGGCCCUGCUUUUGUGGGGUGCUCGAGUGGCGAACGGGUGAGUAACACGUGAGUAACCUGCCCUUGACUUUGGGAUAACUUCAGGAAACUGGGGCUAAUACCGGAUAGGAGCUCCUGCUGCAUGGUGGGGGUUGGAAAGUUUCGGCGGUUGGGGAUGGACUCGCGGCUUAUCAGCUUGUUGGUGGGGUAGUGGCUUACCAAGGCUUUGACGGGUAGCCGGCCUGAGAGGGUGACCGGCCACAUUGGGACUGAGAUACGGCCCAGAAUGCUACGGGAGGCAGCAGUGGGGAAUAUUGCACAGUGGGCGGAAGCCUGAUGCAGCAACGCCGCGUGCGGGAUGACGGCCUUCGGGUUGUAAACCGCUUUCGCAGGUGACGAAGCGUGAGUGACGGUAAUGGGUAAAGAAGCACCGGCUAACUACGUG
rnacentral:rRNA from 1 species